rnacentral:lncRNA from 1 species
GUCUGAAGACUGUCCGCUGGAGAGGUCCGGUUUCACGAGAAAUCCAGUAGAAGGUCGACCGAUAGUAGAGUUUGGAUGGCGUUGUAGAAGUUCGUCCGCUGGAGGAGUCUUGAGGACACUGUAGAAGGUUGACCAUUGGAGGAGUCUGGAAUUCAAUUCUAUUAUAGAAGUUCGGACGGAGUCCGAUUCUUGUAGGAGUUCGGAAGGAGGCUGCUUACUGUAGAAGCUCGGACGAAGACCGGUUGCCGUGGAAGCUCGGAUGGAGACUUCUUAUUGUAAAAGCUCGGAGGAAGAUCGAUUGUCGUGGAAGCUCGGAUGGAGACUUCUUAUUGUAGAAGCUCUGAUGAAAUCCGCUUGCAAUAAAAGUUCGGAGUGUAGAAGCUCGUCUGAAGACUGU